ensembl:lncRNA
CGUUUUCAUCGUCGCUCCUCCUAAUUAUUAUUGCUUUUAUUAAAUAUACUCAAGGUUUUUACGUUCAUUCGUGUCUGCUAAUUAAACCUAGUCUGUGCAUGCUAUAGCUUUCUUUUUUUUUUUUAAAUUCUGAAAUAAUCCUUUCCAGAAGAAAAUCAAGAGUUUGCAAGAGCAAGAUGUCAAAAAGGCAGCUCCGAGCUAUAAAACACUCGCACCAUCACCGGAUCUAUCUGAACACUUGCAUUCUCUCAUUUUACAAACACUAAUGAAGGAGUAAUCGGCAAUCAGUCGGACGUAUUAUUAACCAAUUUUGGGAGGGGAGGGGGACUCGAAACAAAUAUCAAACAGCACUGAAAAGAAAAACAAGGAAGUCUGAAAUUUGGACCAAAAGGGAAAAGAGAAUUAUUAAUUUUUUAUUUUAUUUUAUCAUUUUUUGUAAAAACCUCACGUCACUGCCAACACUGUCUACUAAUAUUUAAAAAAUAAUAACGUCGAAUAGUGCAAUACUCCCAGAGAUCUUGAAAAUGUUUUAGUUCUGUUAGUAAAAAAAAAAAUUAACAUUAUACACUUGCACCAUCGACACAAAUAUAACACUAAACAAUACAGUAGAUUUUCUCCCCGUUAUCAGCACUGACCUCGCAACAAAGCGACGCCGCAGCAAGACCCCAUCCGCUCGACCUGAAUUUCUCAAUGUCGCUUUUCAGCGUCGGGGUAAAAAUAAGAGAUCAGUCAAAUAUCUCGUGUGUGCGCGCGCGCACGUGUGUUUAAUGCAAACAGUGUUUUCAGAAAUGACGUUCGUACCGACUUCUGCGUUAUUGUACUAAUCUACAAAUAUACACACACGCGUUACACCUGCGUGCAAAAGUUUGCGUACUCGCGGUGAUCUGAAGGAAGCAUCCGGUGUGUGAGGGUUUUUUAAAAAAUAAAUAAAUAAAAAUAGUCUGAGGGAGGAUAUUAGAGACUAUGUGCUUUGUUGUGGCCGGUUGUCUUGUUGCAGGAUACAAAAGAUUUCAUUUCGUUAAGUCAUUCAUUAUAACUCUGUCCUGAAAUGAAAGUAACUUUGGGGGGAUUUAUUUAAGCCGUACGCUGCGUGCUUAACAUAAACGUGCAUGAGAUGAAAUGCUGUGCGUCGUGCUGUUGUAAGGGGAUAAUCGGAGACGGAGCCACCGUUCCCUUCCCUCAACUCUAAACAAUUACAUUGUUUGUUUGUCUGUUUAAAAAAAAAAAAAAUUAUUAACGAAUGACGUGCUGUACUAAUAGUGAUUAUGACCUCAAUCUGGGAUGGAAUUCAAGUUUAACUAGAUUUCCUCCCUCACAGACCCCAGUCGAGUUCCUCCAUUUCCUCGCUGAAGGUCAAAGAAUCUUUGUAUUAUAAUCUACAAACUGGGAUACAACCAUCAGCGCCAUUACUGGUGAGUACUGGGAUUAGUGUGUUUUUUUUCUUUCCCUUUUUCUUCUGUAAUUCAUACAGUACUGUACAAACAUCUGAGGUGCAUGUAAGGAAACACUUUACAUUAACGUUCCCCCGUGAAACAAUAUCAAUAUGCGUCUCUGUAACAUUGUGGAAAUUGGUAGAUAUUUAUUUAUUAAAUUACCUUUAACACCUUUUCCCUAAACGAUUACAAACUGUGCAGCGCACUCGGGUACGGGCGACGGUCACAAUAUUUAUUUAUUUUUUUU